rnacentral:rRNA from 1 species
UACGGAGGGGGCUAGCGUUGUUCGGAAUUACUGGGCGUAAAGCGCACGUAGGCGGCUUUGCAAGUUAGAGGUGAAAGCCCGGGGCUCAACUCCGGAAUUGCCUUUAAAACUGCAUCGCUAGAAUUGUGGAGAGGUAAGUGGAAUUCCGGAGUGUAGAGGUGAAAUUCGUAGAUAUUCGGAAGAACACCAGUGGCGAAGGCGGCUCACUGGCUCGUAACUGACGCUCAUGCACGACAGCGUGGGGAUCAAACAGG